AGGAGGAACAACCCCAGUGGCGGGGCCAGCUCUGCAGCCCUGGAGUCAGCUCCCGCAGUAACCAUGGAGCUCUCCGUCUGCAGGGCCUGGAUGCUACGGGGCGAG
rfam:Canis lupus familiaris chromosome 29, whole genome shotgun sequence.